UACGAAGGCCCCAAACGUUGUCCGGAUUCAUUGGGCGUAAAGCGUCCGCAGGUGGCUUUGCAAGUCGAUGGUCAAAUCCUCGAGCUUAACUCGGGGACUGCUAUCGAUACUGCACAGCUAGAGGUCGGAAGAGGCGAGCGGAACUAUCGGUGUAGUCGUAAUAAGCGCUGAUAUCGAUAGGAACACCAAAGGCGAAGGCAGCUCGCUAGGACGAACCUGACACUCAUGGACGAAAGCGUGGGUAGCGAAAGGG
rnacentral:misc_RNA from 1 species